CUUAAAACUUCAAGUAUUUGGAACAAACUGAGAUCGUAGGCCUUGAGUUAUUACUGAUGAUUGUUAUGGCAUCCAUCAUCAGAGACUUUCUAAGCACUGCAAGAGGCUUGAAACCAGGGUAAAUGAGAUGCUGAGUAAAGAACAAGCCGUCUGUCAUGACAUCUGUCCCUGAAGAUCUUAUCACCCUGGUCCCUCUGACCUUGACAAGAAGGG
rnacentral:lncRNA from 1 species